ensembl:lncRNA
AAAAUACCAUGUCAAAUCAAAUCAGGUAUCAUGAGACGCUGGGGGAUGCUAAAUAGAAUAGGAAGGAUCUAGAGAGAGCAGCGGUGGAUUAGUCCUAGCACCGUGGGGCGAGCAUGGAAAUUAUGUACAAGCAGCAAGGUAUUUCCGAACUGGGUAGCUAAAAGUCUAAUAAACAGGCCAACUUUUAUUUACAUUAGCGGAAAGAGGUUGGGCUGUGGUUCUCCUAGGUGUGAGAAUACGGUCGUGGGAAGCAGGCUCACUCCCGAUAACCCAAGGGAAAGGGAAGAUGACGGCGACAUAGCCUCCCCACGCUAGCUCCCGUUCUCGACAGAACACCGAACGCAGGCCCUAAUCCCCGGCGGCACAGCCCUGCCUGUCACACCCUUCCUUCAACCCUGGGGGCGGGGACGGAGGGAGGGCUGGCGACCGCGACAGUCUCAUCAGGUGGAGGUGAAAAACUACCCUUGAGCGCCAGCUCCCGGACAACCUCCUCAAGAGCCCAAGGAAGGGCGCGUUUCUGGACACCAAACAACAGAAGGACUGACUGCCUACCUGCCUGUGUGGAUACGAACCCCUCAGCUGGUAGGAAGAUGGAUUAAGGAUAUGUUAAGCAAACCUAACCGGACUUAUGCCCAGGAAACAUCUUCUGGACAUGGACCACCACUUACAUUGAAGUUCACAAUCAUUUCAACUGUGGAAGGUCUGUGGAAAGGCCUCUUUACUGGUUGCUGGAAAACCAUAAUUGAAUCCUCAGUAUAUAUCAUAAAUACACAUCAUCUGCAGCUGAGCUCAAGGAAGCAACUACACAAAAGAGCACUAACUUGGACCCACAUUUUCUUCCAACCAUAAGAAUGUGACAAUCUCUACUGAGGUGAGAUAGUUGUAAAUGAAAACUAUAUGCAUAUUCCUGAGAAACUCUUGUCACAUAACUCUACAGUAAAGUUUGGUUACUUUCUUUGUUUUAGAUUCCUAGACAUGGAAGAUCUCAACCUAAAGACUGUCCAGGUCUAUUAGGGUUCAAACAGUUCAUCUGUGUGGUUUGUUUGGUAUUUUAAAAACCUAUGCAGAAACUAUCAGCUGUAAGGAAUUACUCCCUAAAUCAUGGCUGUAAUGAGCUUUAGAUGUGCUGGCUUGACAUGAGAGAGUGCAUCCAUCAGGGGUCAUUCAGGAAAACAGAAAUCACUCUGGGCAUUUCAGACAGAGGGUUGAUAUUAGGAAUCAGGUGUUUACCACACUGAAGAAGAGAAAGUCAGGGGAAGCUGCCACUGGCUUCCAGGUUUGUGUUGUUUCUGAGGUCCUGAAAAGCAGUGAGUUGUGGCUGUCACACAGGAAAUUGCAGGAACUAGCCGCCAGUCGUCAUUGCUGUUUCAUUGCAUAGGGAUGAGUGACUAACAGUGGAAUACCUGUUGUCAUUACAAUACUUCCCAUCUGCCUCAUCCCACAUACCUGUCCACUGCUGCCAGAGGAAGAAAUGAAUUUUGCCUCUCUUCUGCCUAACAAACAUUGUAUGAGUGUAUUUGUGGCUGACUGUAAAUGGCAUCCAGGAUCCUGGAGGAAAUUGGGUCAGAGAAAUAGAGUUUCAAGACACUCCAGCAUUUGUGAUAUAGAGAAGAGAAUAGAAGGGAGUGGGAAUGCAUUUUGAAUAAAG